rnacentral:misc_RNA from 1 species
GGCCGGUGGAUCUGUGGGCUUUGCAUCGAGGCGGUGAAAGACGAAGUUGUGAGAUCGGGGAAGCUCAUCUCCACCAAAGAAGCUUUGCUCCGACACGCGAGUUUCUGCAGAGAGUUCAGAUCGACAAACCCUCUGGAUGAAACAGAGCAUCCCAUCUCCGCCAUGGGGCGGCUACUGCGGCGGAGCUUGGAUUCUCCUAGGGUGGUCCGGUCAAAUUCAAGUAACGUAAUCGAACUCGG